rnacentral:rRNA from 1 species
AACACAUGCAAGUCGAGCGAUUUACUUCCGUCAAGAGCGGCGGACGGGUGAGUAACGCGUGGGUAACCUGCCCUGUACACGCGGAUAACAUACCGAAAGGUAUGCUAAUACGGGAUAAUAUAAGAGAGUCGCAUGGCUUUCUUAUCAAAGCUCCGGCGGUACAGGAUGGACCCGCGUCUGAUUAGCUAGUUGGUAAGGUAAUGGCUUACCAAGGCGACGAUCAGUAGCCGACCUGAGAGGGUGAUCGGCCACAUUGGAACUGAGACACGGUCCAAACUCCUACGGGAGGCAGCAGUGGGGAAUAUUGCACAAUGGGCGAAAGCCUGAUGCAGCAACGCCGCGUGAGCGAUGAAGGCCUUCGGGUCGUAAAGCUCUGUCCUCAAGGAAGAUAAUGACGGUACUUGAGGAGGAAGCCCCGGCUAACUACGUGCCAGCAGCCGCGGUAAUACGUAGGGGGCUAGCGUUAUCCGGAAUUACUGGGCGUAAAGGGUGCGUAGGUGGUUUCUUAAGUCAGAAGUGAAAGGCUACGGCUCAACCGUAGUAAGCUUUUGAAACUGAGAAACUUGAGUGCAGGAGAGGAGAGUAGAAUUCCUAGUGUAGCGGUGAAAUGCGUAGAUAUUAGGAGGAAUACCAGUUGCGAAGGCGGCUCUCUGGACUGUAACUGACACUGAGGCACGAAAGCGUGGGGAGCAAACAGGAUUAGAUACCCUGGUAGUCCACGCCGUAAACGAUGAGUACUAGCUGUCGGAGGUUACCCCCUUCGGUGGCGCAGCUAACGCAUUAAGUACUCCGCCUGUGAAGUACGCUCGCAAGAGUGAAAC